rnacentral:lncRNA from 1 species
CACAAUAUAUAUAAUUGGUUAGGGCUCUAAUCAAGCCGGGGGGUCAGGAAAGAUUUUCUGGAGUGGGUGAUGUCUGAGCUCUGCGUUUCAGUGAUGAGUAGGAAUUAACUGAGCAAGAAAGAGAUAGAGUGGACAAAACAUUUCAGGCAAAGGGUACCACAAAAACAAAGGCAUGGAAGCUAGAGACAGCACGAGUUAGGCAGGUCAGCAGACUGGUUUUGUUAGAGUACAAGGGAGUGGUAAGAAAUGAGACCAGAGGUCAGCAGGGCUGAUAUAGGAGUUAUGUAGUGCUGAAUUUAUGUUAGGCUUUACCCUGAGGAAGUCAUUACAGUGUUUGAGAAUGAGACACACUUGAAUAGGCAGUCAGGUAGGUAGAUUAGGGGAGGAGCUUAAAGAGUACAGGAUCAGAGGCAGAGGCCGGGCUGGCUCCCCUCUGUAAUCCCAGCACUUUGGGAGGCUGAGGCAGGAGGAUCACUUGAAGCCAAGAGUUUGAGACCAGCCUGGGCAACAAAGCAAGACCCCCAUCUCUAUGAAAAUUAAUUUUUAAAAAGCCAGGUGCUGUGGUGUUUGCCUGUAGUCUUAGCUACUUUGGAAGCCAAAGCAAGAGGAUCCCUUGAGUCCAGGAGUUUGAGGCUGCAGUAAGCCAUGACUGCACCACUGCACUUCAGCUUGGGUGUCAGGGCAAGAUCCAUCUCAAAAAUGGAUAAAUAAAAUACAUUUUAAAAAAGGACCAGAGGCAGGCCGCACAGUGGCUCACACCUGUAAUCCCAGCACUUUGAGAAGCUGAGGCAGGUGGAUCACUUGAAGUCAGGAGUUCAAGACCAGCCUGGCCGACAUGAUGAAAUCCUGUCUCUACUAAAAGUACAAAAAUUAGCCUGGUGUGGUGGCAUGCACCUGUAAUCUCAACUACUUGGGAGGCUGAAGCAGGAGACUCGCUUGAACCUGGGAGGCAGAGAUUGCAGUGAGCUGAGAUUGCACCACUGCACUCCUGCCUGGGCGACAGAGAGAGAUGCUGUCUCAAAUAAAUAAAUAAAUAAAUAAAUAAAUAGGACCAGAGGCAGAGAGACUAUGUUGAGGUUGAGGUGACAGUUAAUAGCAUUUGCAGAACGGGGGUGGCAUCUGGGAUGGGAAGGGGAGUGAUUUGAGACACAUUUGGAAGGUAAAUUGGCAAGACUUGGUGACUGAUGGGUUAUGGGAAACGAAGACCAGGUAGGAAUCAUGGGUGUGUUCCUGGAGACCACCACCAUCAUGUGACAUGGAGAGAACUGGCAUAGAAGGGGAGAAGAUGAUGAUGAGUUACUUUUGAACACACUGCACUUGAGAGGGUUUAAAUAAUUUAUUCUCCUACUGUCUUCAAAAGGUAAAGGAGUAUAUAUGGUAAACUUAACUGUGGUCUAAAAUGAAGGUGGAGAAUGCUGUUGUUAAUGGGCGACAUCACUAAUGCAUCAUAGCACUCUUAUUCCCACAGCCCAGACACACCUUCGGCGUCCUUUUCAACAUAUCAUUUCAUCCCCCCAAGGUGUCAACUAUAAGUUCCAACACAUGAUGGCUACUACUGUUCCAAGGGAGAGUGUAUGCCUUGGAAAGCCACGUUUCUCCCCAGUCUAAAAGCUUGAGAGAGUAACAUUCUUUAAAACAUACAUGUCUUGAACACAGAUUUGGAGGUAUCCUUGAGGUAAAUUACAGCUUACCAAAUGUAAAUAACCAAAAACACAUCGAUCAUGAGUGCCAGCAUCACUGGGAACUCUUCCGAUAUUUCUGAGACUCCUAACUUGGUUUAAGGUUAGGGCAGUGCAGACCACGGUAAUCAAGAGAGUCUAAUUUUAAAUUUGUUAACUGUCCAUUAUGGGAUGGGACAGGUCUUCUCAACAUGACUCCAGCAAGAUCCAGGCUUAUUAAUGCUCCAUGGAGGGUGUCCGCAGCAAGAAGUCUUCCUGAUGGGUUCAGAUGAUUUGGAUUACACCCCCUCCUUAAGGAACUCAGAAGGAAAAGCAACAUAUAAAAGACUGAGAAAUCCUCAGAAAUCAAUUAAACUUAGUUUGGCCUAGUGUCACCCAGACUUACUUGACCAUGAAAUCCUCCUGUCGCAUGACACUCAUGAAGAGCCCCUGAAAUUAGGAUCAUUUCAAUCCUCAAAGCAUACCCAUUUUUCAAACGAGAAAUACAACUUCUAGAAUCACAAAGCCACAAAAUUGGCAAGGGAGAUCUAAAAUCAGAUCUUCCGGUUCCAGCUUCAGGGCCCAAUUCAUAGGACUGCAGCUGAAGAGGACAGUUGGCAGUGAAGAUGAGAGCUGAUACCUGGGCUACACACCCACUUUACAAACAGAACAUCGGGGGCUCGGCAGUAUCCCUACUCGGCAAAAUGUGCGGCACAUGGGCCAGCUACAGCUUUCUGGGGGCUCCCCAUCAGGGCUGACAGCUCAUCCUGUCUUUUAAAGUCCACCACCAUUGCCCUUUUCUUUUGUAGCCACUACAAAACACUACUCUGUUUACUCUCUGCUAUACCCGCGAGAGGAAUUCUGGCCUUUAGGGCAUUUCCUGUUGCCUAGAAACCUUAUAGAGCACUGGGUGCAGGAAGCUGACUCUCUGGUAGAGAUUCACAGGCAGGAAGUUUAUUCAGAGUGCUCUGGGGCAACACCUGUGAGGGAAUACAGGCAGUAAAACAGGGCAGAGGGAGAGGCUGAAUUCUGAUGCAGCUGCAAACAAAAGCCUGACUGAUCCAGGAGGAUGCUCUGCAACGGGGCUGGGCGUUCAAAGUGGAUCCAAGCCGGGUGAAAGGUCCAGGCCUUCAUGUCCCAGCAUCAACCUGUCUUUGGAUAUGGGUUGCUACUGCUCCUACCUUGGGCAUCCUAGUUCUCCUCAGCCACAGGCAAUCCCGAAGAGGGUCUCAGCUGAGCACUGUCAGCUGCCAACAUUACCAGCAGCUGAAGAAGGAAGUCCUUCCCUCCUGGAAGCGGGUGGAGGGAGUGUUGUAGAUCUGGGCUGCCUGACAACAUCUUCUGCAUUGCUCAGGGCGUGUUUCCCACUCAACUCUCAGUGAUGAAUAAACUCAAAGGAAAGGAAAAUCAUUUGGCAACCGGAAGGUGUGGGAGGAUAGCUGUAAAUGAAACUGACGGCAAAAAACAGAGCAGAGAAGUUUAAAGAAAAAAAAUAACAGCAUUCCUGGUGAUGCCCCAUUGGGCCAAUGAAACAAACACAUUCUGAAGCCUUUCCUAACCAGGAGCCAACCAAUCUCAUCACUGUGAAGCCAGAAAACCCUAUCUAUUGAAGAUGACUGCUUUCUUCUACUGUAGCUGGCAAUUUUAUGAAAUGAAGAAAAUUUGCUCUAGUUGCAAGUGACACACACCUCUUAAAUGUCUGCUAUCAAUUAAAAGUAAAAUACUGGUUACUUGCAACUAUCAAUUAGAUACAAUGCACUCCAGGAGAUCAGGAGCCUUGGCAUUCAGACAUAGGAGCAUUUUUUUGGCUUUGCCAUUUACUUGCAAUGUGACCUUGAUGAGAGAGAAGUUGAUGCUCAGCGAGGUGAAGUAAUUUGCCCAGGGUUAAGAUUCAAAUGCAAGUCUGGGGACCCUGAAGUCUGCUUCUUUUCACUGUGCUGCGUAGUGGCCUUAGCCUUUCCUUUCUAACAGAGAAGCCAAGACAGCAUACCUGUGUCUGAGUGCCCCAGUGGUGUGCACAUCUAUUACCUCAGGAAGAAAGAAUGUCUGAGGAGACGAAAUUUGCAAACAGUUACAAAGGACUGCACACACAAAUAUGAAUAAAGCCUCUUGAACACCAG